GACGAACGCUGGCGGCGUGCUUAACACAUGCAAGUCGAACGGAAAGGCCCUGCUUUUGUGGGGUGCUCGAGUGGCGAACGGGUGAGUAACACGUGAGUAACCUCCCCUUGACUUUGGGAUAACUUCAGGAAACUGGGGCUAAUACCGGAUAGGAGCUCCUGCUGCAUGGUGGGGGUUGGAAAGUUUCGGCGGUUGGGGAUGGAUUCGCGGCUUAUCAGCUUGUUGGUGGAGUAGUGGCUUACCAAGGCUUUGAAGGGUAGCCGGCCUGAGAGGUUGACCGGGGACAAGGGGCCUGAGGUAGGGCGCAGAAGGCAACGGGAGGCAGCAGUGGGAAAUAUUGCAGAAUGGGGGGACGCGUGAGGCAGCAACGCCGCGAGCGGGAUGCCGGCCUAUGGGUUGUAAACAGCUUUGGAAUGUGACGAAGAGGGAGUGACGGUAAUGGGUAAAAAAGCACCGGCUAACUACGUG
rnacentral:rRNA from 1 species